rnacentral:rRNA from 1 species
UGAACGCUGGCGGCAUGCCUUACACAUGCAAGUCGAACGGCAGCACGGGUGCUUGCACCUGGUGGCGAGUGGCGAACGGGUGAGUAAUACAUCGGAACAUGUCCUGUAGUGGGGGAUAGCCCGGCGAAAGCCGGAUUAAUACCGCAUACGAUCUACGGAUGAAAGCGGGGGACCUUCGGGCCUCGCGCUAUAGGGUUGGCCGAUGGCUGAUUAGCUAGUUGGUGGGGUAAAGGCCUACCAAGGCGACGAUCAGUAGCUGGUCUGAGAGGACGACCAGCCACACUGGGACUGAGACACGGCCCAGACUCCUACGGGAGGCAGCAGUGGGGAAUUUUGGACAAUGGGCGAAAGCCUGAUCCAGCAAUGCCGCGUGUGUGAAGAAGGCCUUCGGGUUGUAAAGCACUUUUGUCCGGAAAGAAAUCCUUGGCUCUAAUACAGUCGGGGGAUGACGGUACCGGAAGAAUAAGCACCGGCUAACUACGUGCCAGCAGCCGCGGUAAUACGUAGGGUGCGAGCGUUAAUCGGAAUUACUGGGCGUAAAGCGUGCGCAGGCGGUUUGCUAAGACCGAUGUGAAAUCCCCGGGCUCAACCUGGGAACUGCAUUGGUGACUGGCAGGCUAGAGUAUGGCAGAGGGGGGUAGAAUUCCACGUGUAGCAGUGAAAUGCGUAGAGAUGUGGAGGAAUACCGAUGGCGAAGGCAGCCCCCUGGGCCAAUACUGACGCUCAUGCACGAAAGCGUGGGGAGCAAACAGGAUUAGAUACCCUGGUAGUCCACGCCCUAAACGAUGUCAACUAGUUGUUGGGGAUUCAUUUCCUUAGUAACGUAGCUAACGCGUGAAGUUGACCGCCUGGGGAGUACGGUCGCAAGAUUAAAACUCAAAGGAAUUGACGGGGACCCGCACAAGCGGUGGAUGAUGUGGAUUAAUUCGAUGCAACGCGAAAAACCUUACCUACCCUUGACAUGGUCGGAAUCCCGCUGAGAGGUGGGAGUGCUCGAAAGAGAACCGGCGCACAGGUGCUGCAUGGCUGUCGUCCGCUCGUGUCGUGAGAUGUUGGGUUACCCUCCCGCAACGAGCGCAACCCUUGUCCUUAGUUGCUACGCAAGAGCACUCUAAGGAGACUGCCGGUGACAAACCGGAGGAAGGUGGGGAUGACGUCAAGUCCUCAUGGCCCUUAUGGGUAGGGCUUCACACGUCAUACAAUGGUCGGAACAGAGGGUUGCCAACCCGCGAGGGGGAGCUAAUCCCAGAAAACCGAUCGUAGUCCGGAUUGCACUCUGCAACUCGAGUGCAUGAAGCUGGAAUCGCUAGUAAUCGCGGAUCAGCAUGCCGCGGUGAAUACGUUCCCGGGUCUUGUACACACCGCCCGU